rnacentral:hammerhead_ribozyme from 1 species
AUCCAGCUGACGAGUCCCAAAUAGGAUGAAACGCACGUCCUAGAU